rfam:Neosartorya udagawae DNA, contig:Aud0027, strain: IFM 46973.
GUCUCCGUGGCCCAGCUGGUUAAGGCGUCCGACUGUUAAGCAGCUGCUCCUAGCAAUCGGGAGAUCGGCAGUUCGAUCCUGCCCGGGGACG